rnacentral:rRNA from 1 species
GAUGAACGCUGGCGGCGUGCCUAAUACAUGCAAGUCGAGCGAACGGACGAGAAGCUUGCUUCUCUGAUGUUAGCGGCGGACGGGUGAGUAACACGUGGAUAACCUACCUAUAAGACUGGGAUAACUUCGGGAAACCGGAGCUAAUACCGGCUAAUAUUUUGAACCGCAUGGUUCAAAAGUGAAAGACGGUCUUGCUGUCACUUAUAGAUGGAUCCGCGCUGCAUUAGCUAGUUGGUAAGGUAACGGCUUACCAAGGCAACGAUGCAUAGCCGACCUGAGAGGGGGAUCGGCCACACUGGAACUGAGACACGGUCCAGACUCCUACGGGAGGCAGCAGUAGGGAAUCUUCCGCAAUGGGCGAAAGCCUGACGGAGCAACGCCGCGUGAGUGAUGAAGGUCUUCGGAUCGUAAAACUCUGUUAUUAGGGAAGAACAUAUGUGUAAGUAACUGUGCACAUCUUGACGGUACCUAAUCAGAAAGCCACGGCUAACUACGUG